UUGGACAAGGUGAUGCUGCCCGGCCCUCUGAAGUAUGACGUCAUCAGAAGUAUAAGGUGAUGAAACGGAACUGAAAAGCUCUCUCGGAGGAGGCAUUCCGCGCUCUCUGGCUCUCUCUCGGACGACGGAUCCCACGCCGCUCUUCGCUCUCGGCUCACAUCCGACACCGUGGACAGCCCACGAGAGACCAGCGGCAGGCAUCACGGCGCCGGCGGCGGCUCCGGCCGCCUGGCCGGGCGCUGGACGGUCACGACCAUCAUGUCAGCGACUCCAUCUCAACCGUUCUCCGUGACGGAAACCCCCGUUACAGAACAGGCAGUCAUGUAUGUUGCCGAACCCAAUGAACGUACUAAAAAUACGACUGAGCACGACGCUAUGAAGAAAUUGAAUGUGCUGAAAUGAAAAUCAGGAUUGAAGAAGGCAAAAGUCACCAAUAGGACGCAGCAUACUGAAAUGAAGGUGACAGCGCAGAUUGUAAAUGAUUGAGGCACGUUUUAGAAGCAGUAUGGAAAGCUGAAUUGCGAUAAGAACAAGAAGGACAACACACAGCCGAGUGACGGCGAGAAAGAAGACAUUGAAGUAGUAUACCGAUGGAAACGACGUUGAUACUAAAUGGCAAUGGAUACAUGCAAUCACAGAAAGGAAACGACAGCUGAGAAGAGUAAAAUGCAAAUGAUUGAAGAACUGUAACAUCACGAAGCCAUUUGGAAGAGCAAACGUGCAGCACAGAGAAGAAGAGACGCCGACAGAAGAACAGAAAAAAGGUAGUCAUCAACAGCGACUGCCUGACAGCCAGUGCCCAAUGGAACUCAAAAUGAAGGCAACGCCGGAAAUAAAUAACAACAGAAGACCGGAAGAAGGAGAAGGAGACACGAAUAGAACCAAAACUACAAUGUUGUUAGCAGUUACAUCGCACGUCUGUGACGACAAAAUCAGACGGCAACCGGAGUAAUGGUGACGACAACUACAACCAUGAAGCAUCAUUAGACACGACCAUUCAGGGACACCUCAAUGCUGCCUGUUUCAACCAAAAUGGACAGCUGUAAUGGACCGGGCCAGUCUGCGGGCCGAUUUCUGGACCGCCCGCCGCACUGGCAGGCGGUGAUCCGCCGUUCAUCAAUUGCAGGUGGCUCCCAUUUC